CGAGAGCCUCGAUGUCGCCCAGGGGCCACACCCGUCCCAGUGGGGCGCCGCCGCCUGCUAGGGCCGCUUGGGUGUCCCCCCCCUCGGCCCCAGAAAGUCAUGAGAUUUGUGUGACCCAUGAGUUUUGAAUGUUUGGAGCUGGCCGUACUGCUGAUGCAACAAUUUAUAUAUCCUCCUGUCUAGAGCUUUUUGAAAAAGAUAAGAAGAGGGCAAGGACUUUGCACUCAAGGUGAAGCUAAACCCAUCCUCAGGUGAGGAACUGGCCUUCCUGCUGAGAGGUAUAUGGGGAGCACUAUCCACGACACCACCUGGCCCGGUAAUGAGACUAGCUCUAUUACACCCAUCCACAUUAAAAAAAAUGUAAUAAUAAAAAAAUCAAAAUUUUUGUUUGAA